CAUAUGUCGAGCUGAAGAGUCCCAAAUAGGACGAAACAUGUA
rnacentral:hammerhead_ribozyme from 11 species